AUGGUCUGUUAGUAUGGUAAAUUAUAUUGCUUGAUUUUCAGAUGUUAAAUCACUCUUGCAUUCUUGUGAUAAAUCUCAUGUGCUCAUGAUGUACUUGUCCUUUUAAAUAUAAAGAGACAUCCAAUUUGCUAAAGUUUUGUUGAGAAUUAUUGCAUCUAUGUUCAUAUAGGUAUAUUGGUGUAUAGUUUUCUUGCCUUGUAAGGUCUUUACCUGGUUUUGAUGUCAGAGUAAUGCUGGACCAUUCAGUGAUUUGGGACGUAUUCACUCAUCUUCAACUUCCUUGAACAGUUUGUGCAGAAUCAAUAUUAUUUCUACCUUAAAUGUCUGACUCUGGGGCUUUCUUUCUUUUCUUUUUCUUUUUUCUUUUUUUUGAGGCAGGGUCUCACUGUGUCACCCAGGCUGGAGUGCAGUGGCCCAGUCACGGCUCACUGCAGCUUCGACCUUCCAGGCUCAAGUAAUCCUCCCACCUCAGCCUCCCAAGUAGCUAGGAUAACAGGCGUGCACCAUGAUGCCUGGCCAAAUGUUUUGCAUUUUUUAUAGAGAUGAGGUUUCACCAUGUUGCCCAGGCUGGUCUCAAACUCCUUGACUCAGGCGAUCCUCCUGCCUCAGCCUCCUAAAGUGUUAGGACUACAGGUGUGAGCCACUGCACGUGGCCAACCCUGGGGUUUUCUUUGUGGAAACAUGUGUUAGUCUAUUUGCAUUGCUAUAAAGGAAUACCUGAGACUGGAUAAUUUAUAAAGAAAGGAGAUUUAUUUGGCUCAUGGUUCUGUAGGCUGUACAUGAAGCAUAGUGCCAGCAUCUGCUUCUGUUGAGGGCCUCAGGAAGCUUCCAGUCAUGGCAGAAGAUGAAGCGGUCCCUGAAUCACAUGGUGAGAGAAGGAACAAGAGAGAAGGAGGAGGAAGUUCCAGACUCUUUCAAACAACCAGAUAUUGUGUGAACUCAUAACUGAGAAUUCACUCAUUACUGGGGAGGAUGGCACCAAGACAUUCAUGAAGGAUCCAUGAUCCAAACCCCUCCCACCAGGCCCCACCUCCAACAUUAGGGACUACAUUUCAACACGAGAUUUGGAGAGGACAAACAUCCAAACUAUAUCAGAAGGUUUUUAAUUGCAUAUUCAAUUUCUUUAAUAGAUGUAGGCCUAUUUUGGUUAUCUAUUUCUUCUUGAGUGUUGUUAGAUUGUAUUUUUCAGUAAUUUGUCCAUUUUAUCCAUAUUGUGACAUUUCUAUCUGGUGUAAUAAGAAUAGUGUUCAUAUCAAAGUUCAAUUUCUCCAUAUCUUUUCCAGGUAACUCUCCCUUUGGUGCUUUGAAGCAAUAUGGCGUCUUGACUGGCUGCCAUGGCCCCCACCUUUCCUCCUAGGCUCAGCCCUUGACAUAACUACUCCUCACUACCCUCUCAUCUUCCCCCCACCUUGUAUCCCUCUAGCAUUCCUCACCUGAAGAACUUAGGCUUUCUUAAGUCUCUUUAGUUAGCAGGAAACUAUCUAAUUUAAAAACCCUCUCCAAGUUGUUUAUUACUUAAGGGAUUAGUCCUUCCAAGAGUAUUUAUGUUUCAGAAGAGAAUGUCUAGAUAGGAUUGUGCAUAACAAAAAUAAGUCAAUUUUUAAUGGUGUUAUUGUAGGCUCUGUGACAAGUAGGGGAGGGAAGCACUUUGGGAAAUGGACUCUCCUCUCUUUCAAAUAUUAUUCAAGUACAAGUUUGCGCCUGUUACUCUUCUGCUUUAAGACUGUCUACAGGGAGUUCUCCUUGUCCUUUGGUCAAAGUAAAAUGUUCAACACAGCCUUGCAAGAUCCUGCCGCUUCUCGGAGCCAUCAGACCCACUCUUGAUGCUCUGCUCUGGUAGAGCUCUGCCCUGGCCCUCAAACUGUUGGACUUCUCUGAGAAAGCGAUAGGUGUGCUCAGAUUUUAAGGAUGAGGUGGAGAAGUUCAGAGAGAGGGCAUUUGCUAUGGAACUGAGGCUACCAAAGUGACGAAGAGAAUGCAUCCCUGUUCUCUAGGAACUCAAGGUUUAGUGGCCUUAUAGAGUGGAAUAGCACGCCAACAGUGGGGCCAGUGACUGCCAGGCUGACUAGAGAAGGCAACUCUCACUGUGGAUAUAGUCGGAAACUGGCUUUUCUGCUUCAGCGCUGUGGACCAGCAAUUGACCUUUCUUCCCUAAAGUUCAUUCACUUGAUACCUUCCAGAAGGAAGGUCACCCCCUGCCUGGGUUGGCUAUGGGCCAAACCCCUGCCCACUCCAAAGUGUGGCUUGGAAUGCCAUGGUCUGCUUAUUAAAAAUCAGAUUUCGGGAGGCCAAGGCGUGAGCAAGUGCGCCCGGCCUUAAAUGUACCUUUUAAACCAAGUUC
rnacentral:lncRNA from 10 species